rnacentral:lncRNA from 1 species
CUCCAACCAAUUUGUUUAUCACAACUUUUAUCUCAAAACAUACUUUUCAAGCAAAUAACCCUUCCUUUUGGUAAAAAAAGUCAUAUUUAUUUGGACCAAAAUACCCUUUGUCUGUAUAAGCUCGCGUCACAUCUUCACAAGAUACACAAUGACCAAAAGUUAAUUGCCAGACCGGUACAAUAAAACCACUGCUGGACCCCAAUGCGCAGCUG